rnacentral:lncRNA from 1 species
UCUAUUUCAGAAUAAUUUAUUUCUGUUUUUUUUCUGUCAUGAAGGAGAUUGUUAGAUCAAGAGAUUAUAAACACAUUACAAGGCAUAUGAUAGCUUUUUUAAAGUCCACAGAAAUAAUUAGUCUUGAGUCAUAACUUUCUUGUUCAAGGAAUGAUAAUUCUUGUGCAAUGAAGAUCUGUGUGUCUGUACUCUCUAAUGCUUUUUGCAGUUUGGUUCAGAUGGAUUACCAUUGCCACUUUGUCAUUUUUCUGUUCUUCACAGGUAUUUCCAGCUCUACCAAGCAUAACAAAUGAAUCAGGACUCAGAUAAACUAACAUAUGGCUUUUUUUUGUUUAUUUUAAGGGGGUUUUUUGGUCAGAAAAAAAAAUCUUGUGUGGACUUCUUAAGAAACUGCAACAGAAAACACAGCAUCACUGGUUCCUUUUUAUAUUUGUCAUUGAGAAGAGAACAUGUUAUAGCUGUGACCACAGGUGCAAGUGCAGUGUCAAUUCCAUUUCAUAAAUUACAACAUUUUACUUGGGAGGAACUGAAUUAAUUCCAUGUUGCAUAAGAAGAUACAAUAGUGUUCACUUUUCUUAUACAUGCGGUGUAAUUUGGAAAGAGUCAUUAUACGUUUAUGAAGAUCUCGUAUUAAUUUCCACACAGCAAUAACAGAAAUAAAAAAAUACAAAAAUAAG